rnacentral:rRNA from 1 species
GAUGAACGCUGGCGGCGUGCCUAAUACAUGCAAGUCGAGCGAACGGACGAGAAGCUUGCUUCUCUGAUGUUAGCGGCGGACGGGUGAGUAACACGUGGAUAACCUACCUAUAAGACUGGGAUAACUUCGGGAAACCGGAGCUAAUACCGGAUAAUAUUUUGAACCGCAUGGUUCAAAAGUGAAAGACGGUCUUGCUGUCACUUAUAGAUGGAUCCGCGCUGCAUUAGCUAGUUGGUAAGGUAACGGCUUACCAAGGCAACGAUGCAUAGCCGACCUGAGAGGGUGAGCGGCACCACUGGAACGGAGACCCGGCCCAGACUCCUACGGGAGGCCGAAGUGGGGAAUCUUCCGAAAGGGGCGAAAGCCGGACGGAGCAACGCCGGGGGAGUAAUAAAGGUCUUCGGAUCGUAAACCUCUUUUAUUGGGGAAGAAAAUAUGUGUAAGUACCUGUGCACUUCUUGACGGUACCUAAUAAGAAAGCCACGGCUAACUCCGUG